GACGAACGCUGGCGGCGUGCCUAAUACAUGCAAGUCGAGCGGAGCUUAUCCUUCGGGGUAAGCUUAGCGGCGGACGGGUGAGUAACACGUAGGCAACCUGCCCCUUAGCCUGGGAUAACUACCGGAAACGGUAGCUAAUACCGGAUAAUUUCUUUUUUCUCCUGAAGAGAGAAUGAAAGGCGGAGCAAUCUGCCAUUAAGGGAUGGGCCUGCGGCGCAUUAGCUAGUUGGUGGGGUAACGGCUCACCAAGGCGACGAUGCGUAGCCGACCUGGGAGGGUGAACGGCAACACUGGGACUGAGACACGGCCCAGACUCCUACGGGAGGCAGCAGUAGGGAAGCUUCCGCAAUGGGCGAAAGCCUGACGGAGCAACGCCGCGUGAGUGAUGAAGGUUUUCGGAUCGUAAAGCUCUGUUGCCAGGGAAGAACGUCCGGUAGAGUAACUGCUACCGGAGUGACGAUACCUGAGAAGAAAGCCCCGGCUAACUACGUGCCAGCCGCCGCAGUAA
rnacentral:rRNA from 1 species